rnacentral:lncRNA from 1 species
UCCCAGUCCUUCCCAGUCCCACCCCGGUCCCACACCAGUCAAUUCCAGUCCCAUCCCAGUCCCUCCCAGACCCAUCCCAGUCCCACCCCAGUCCGUCCCAGUGCUCCCAGUACCGUGGUGAGCUCCCCGAGGUGGUUGAGGGCCCCGAGGGCGUAGAGCUGCUCCAGUGCCAACAGCAGAGCCUCGUGGGGUGGGGGGUCCAGGAAGUCGAAGUGGAUGAGGUCAUUGAUGCCUGCGGGGGCACCCAGUGUCACCCAGUGUCACCCAGUGUCACCCAAUGGAACACCCAAAGGAACCCAAUGGAAGACAAUGGCAGCCAAUGGCAGCCAAUGGCACCCAAUGGCACCCAAUGGAAACCAAUGCCACUCAAUGGCACCCAAUGGCACCCAAUGGCACCCAAUGGCACCCAAUGGAACUUAAUGGAACCCAAUGGAAACCAAUGGAACCUAAUGGAACCCAGUGGAACCCAAUGGAACCCAAUGGAACUCCAAUGGAACCCAGUGGAACCCAAUGGAACCCAAUGGAACUCCAAUGGAACCCAAUGGAACCCAGUGGAACCCAGUGGAACCCAAUGGAACCCAAUGGAACUCCAAUGGAACCCAAUGGCACCCAAUGGAACUUAAUGGAACCCAGUGGAACCCAAUGGCACCCAGUGGAACCCAAUGGAACUCCAAUGGAACCCAAUGGAACCCAGUGGAACUCCAAGGGAACCCAAUGGCACCCAAUGGAACUCCAAGGGAACCCAAUGGAACCCAGUGGAACCCAAUGGCACCCAGUGGAACCCAAUGGCACCCAGUGGAACCCAAUGGAACUCCAAUGGAACCCAAUGGAACCCAAUGGAACCCAGUGGAACCCAAUGGAACCUAGUGGAACCCAAUGGAACUCCAAGGGAACCCAAUGGCACCCAAUGGAACUCCAAGGGAACCCAAUGGCACCCAAAGGAACCCAGUGGAACCCAAUGGCACCCAAUGGCACCUAUACAUCCCAUAAUGGUCUCACACUUCCCCCAUAGCUCCCAUAGUGCCCCUAUAAGUCCCAUAAUGGUCCCAUAAUGCCCCCAUAGGUCCCAUAACGAUCCCAUAAUGCCCCCAUAGGUCCCAUAAUGCCCCCAUAGGUCCCAUAAUGCCCCCACAGGUCCCAUAAUGAUCCCAUAAUGCCCCCAUAGGUCCCAUAAU